rnacentral:rRNA from 1 species
UACAGAGGUCUCAAGCGUUGUUCGGAUUCAUUGGGCGUAAAGGGUGCGUAGGCGGCGCGGUAAGUCGGGUGUGAAAUCUCGGAGCUUAACUCCGAAACUGCAUUCGAUACUGCCGUGCUUGAGGACUGGAGAGGAGACUGGAAUUUACGGUGUAGCGGUGAAAUGCGUAGAUAUCGUAAGGAAGACCAGUGGCGAAGGCGGCCCCCUGGUCGGAUACUGACGCUGAGACGCGAAAGCGUGGGGAGCAAACAGG